rnacentral:rRNA from 1 species
GUGGGGAAUAUUGGACAAUGGGCGCAAGCCUGAUCCAGCCAUGCCGCGUGAGUGAUGAAGGCCUUAGGGUUGUAAAGCUCUUUUGUCCGGGAAGAUAAUGACUGUACCGGAAGAAUAAGCCCCGGCUAACUUCGUGCCAGCAGCCGCGGUAAUACGAAGGGGGCUAGCGUUGUUCGGAAUCACUGGGCGUAAAGCGCACGUAGGCGGACCAUUAAGUCAGGGGUGAAAGCCUGGAGCUCAACUCCAGAACUGCCUUUGAUACUGAUGGUCUCGAGUUCGGAAGAGGUUGGUGGAACUGCGAGUGUAGAGGUGAAAUUCGUAGAUAUUCGCAAGAACACCAGUGGCGAAGGCGGCCAACUGGUCCGAUACUGACGCUGAGGUGCGAAAGCGUGGGGAGCAAACAGGAUUAGAUACCCCGGUAGUCC